rnacentral:tRNA from 1 species
GGUGGACGUAGCUCAGUUGGUUUAGAGCAUCAGAUUGUGGUUCUGAGGGUCGCCGGUUCGAAUCCGGUCGUCCACCCAAU